rnacentral:rRNA from 1 species
AUUUCGGUCAACGGAUUGGACUACCUAGUGGCGGACGGGUGAGUAACGCGUGAGCAACCUGCCCUUCGGAGGGGGACAACAGCUGGAAACGGCUGCUAAUACCGCAUAACAUAUACUUGAGGCAUCUUGAGUAUAUCAAAGAUUUAUCGCCGAAGGAUGGGCUCGCGUCUGAUUAGCUAGUUGGUGAGGUAACGGCCCACCAAGGCAACGAUCAGUAGCCGGACUGAGAGGUUGAACGGCCACAUUGGGACUGAGAUACGGCCCAGACUCC